rnacentral:rRNA from 1 species
AGAGUUUGAUCCUGGCUCAGGACGAACGCUGGCGGCGUGCUUAAUACAUGCAAGUCAAGGAGAAAGGGAGAUUUCGAUUUCCCGAGUAAACUGGCGAACGGGUGAGUAACGCGUAGGCAACCUGCCCUUGUGACCGGCAUAACAUUGAGAAAUUGGUGCUAAUACCGGAUAAUAUCUUGAAUACGCCUGUAUUUAAGAUCAAAGGUGCUUUUGUAGUGCAUAGGGAUGGGCCUGCGUUCCAUUAGCUAGUUGGGUAGGUAACGGCUACCCAAGGCGACGAUGGAUAGCUGAUCUGAGAGGGUGAUCAGCCACACUGGGACUGAGAUACGGCCCAGACUCCUACGGGAGGCAGCAGUAAGGAAUAUUGCGCAAUGGAGGCAACUCUGACGCAGCAACGCCGCGUGGGGGAUGAAGCACUAUGGUGUGUAAACCCCUGUAGGUAGGGACGAACGGCAUAUAUUCGUAAGGGUAUAUGUGUGACGGUACCUUCAAAGUAAGCACCGGCUAACUCCGUGCCAGCAGCCGCGGUAAUACGGGGGGUGCAAGCGUUGUCCGGAAUUACUGGGCGUAAAGGGCGUGUAGGCGGCGGGACAAGUCAGAUGUGAAAGCCCCCGGCUUAACCGGGGAACUGCAUUUGAAACUGUUUUGCUUGAGUGCGAGAGGGGGUAGUGGAAUUCCAGUGAAGCGGUGAAAUGCGUAGAUAAUGGGAAGAACACCAGUAGCGAAGGCGGCUACCUGGCUCGCAACUGACGCUAAGGCGCGAAAGCGUGGGGAGCAAACAGGAUUAGAUACCCUGGUAGUCCACGCUGUAAACGAUGGGUACUAGGUGUUGGUUGGUCAUAGACUAAUCAGUGCCGGAGCGAACGCAUUAAGUACCCCGCCUGGGGAGUACGAUCGCAAGGUUGAAACUCAAAGGAAUUGACGGGGGCCCGCACAAGCGGUGGAGCAUGUUGUUUAAUUCGAUGCAACGCGAAGAACCUUACCGGGGUUUGACAUAUCAAUGGCGCAUAUAGAGAUAUAUGUUUCCUUCGGGACGUUGAUACAGGUGCUGCAUGGCUGUCGUCAGCUCGUGUCGUGAGAUGUUGGGUUAAGUCCCGCAACGAGCGCAACCCUUGUCCCUAGUUGCCAACGAGUCAUGUCGGGGACUCUAGGGAGACUGCCGGUGACAAACUGGAGGAAGGUGGGGAUGACGUCAAGUCAUCAUGGCCCUUACAUCCCGGGCUACACACGUGCUACAAUGGUCGGUACAACGAGUCGCUAAGUCGCGAGUCUAAGCUAAUCUCUAAAAACCGACCUCAGUUCGGAUUGCAGUCUGCAACUCGACUGCAUGAAGCCGGAAUCGC